UACGUAGGGUGCAAGCGUUGUCCGGAAUUAUUGGGCGUAAAGAGCUCGUAGGCGGUCUGUCGCGUCUGCUGUGAAAACUCGGGGCUUAACCCCGGGCCUGCAGUGGGUACGGGCAGACUAGAGUGCGGUAGGGGAGACUGGAAUUCCUGGUGUAGCGGUGAAAUGUGUAGAGAUCGGGAGGAACACCGGUGGCGAAGGCGGGUCUCUGGGCAACUCCUGACGCUGAGGCGCGAAAGCGUGGGGAGCAAACGGG
rnacentral:rRNA from 1 species